GACGAACGCUGGCGGCGUGCUUAACACAUGCCAGUCGAACGGAAAGGCCCUGCUUUUGUGGGGUGCUCAAGUGGCGAACGGGUGAGUAACACGUGAGUAUCCUGCCCUUCACUUUGGGAUAACUUCCGGAAACUGCGGCUAAUACCGGCUAGGAGCUCCUGCUGCAUGGUGGGGGUUGGAAAGCUUCGGCGGUUGGGGAUGGACUCACGGCUUAUCAGCUUGUUGGUGGGGUAGUGGCUUACCAAGGCUUUGUCGGGUAGCCGGCCUGAGAGGGUGACCGGCCACAUUGGGACUGGGAUACGGCCCAGACUCCUACGGGAGGCAGCAGUGGGGAAUAUUGCACAGUGGGGGGAAGCCUGAUGCAGCAACGCCGCGUGCGGGAUGACGGCCUUCGGGUUGUAAACCGCUUUCGCCUGUGACGAAGCGUGAGUGACGGUAAUGGGUAAAGAAGCACCGGCUAACUACGUG
rnacentral:rRNA from 1 species